UACGUAGGGACCGAGCGUUGUCCGGAAUCAUUGGGCGUAAAGAGCGUGUAGGCGGCCCGAUAAGUCCGCUGUGAAAGUCCAGGGCUCAACCCUGGGAUGCCGGUGGAUACUGUCGGGCUCGAGUCCGGAAGAGGAGUGUGGAAUUCCUGGUGUAGCGGUGAAAUGCGCAGAUAUCAGGAGGAACACCAACGGCGAAGGCAGCACUCUGGGACGUGACUGACGCUGAGACGCGAAAGCGUGGGGAGCAAACAGG
rnacentral:rRNA from 1 species